rnacentral:rRNA from 1 species
AUGGUGGUGCCGUCGGUGUUCGCCGCCUUCGACGAGGACGGCGACGGCAAGGUUUCCGACGAUGCCGACGUGAAGCGAAGGUGCCUGAGGGAGGCGUUCGGGAUGUACGCGUCGUCGUCCACGGAAGACACGAUUACGCCGGCGAGCCUGAGGCGGACGCUGAGCAGGCUGGGGUCGCACGAGCUGGGCGUGGAGGAGUGCCGGGCAAUGAUCUGCAGGUUCGACCUCGACGGCGAUGGCAAACUCUCCUUCGAUGAGUUCGGGAUCAUGAUGAUGGCCUGA